rnacentral:rRNA from 1 species
CCACCGCGGUUAUACGAGAGGCCCAAGUUGACAGACAUCGGCGUAAAGAGUGGUUAAGUUAAAAUUUAUACUAAAGCCGAACAUCCUCAAGGCUGUUAUACGCACCCGAAGAUAAGAAGUUCAACCACGAAGGUGGCUUUAUUUAGUCUGAACCCACGAAAGCUACGGCGCAAACUGGGAUUAGAUACCCCACUAUGCCUAGCCCUAAACAUUGAUAGUACCCUACACCCACUAUCCGCCUGGGAACUACGAGCAUCAGCUUGAAACCCAAAGGACUUGGCGGUGCUUUAGAUCCACCUAGAGGAGCCUGUUCUAGAACCGAUAACCCCCGUUCAACCUCACCUUUCCUUGUUUUUCCCGCCUAUAUACCGCCGUCGUCAGCUUACCCUGUGAAGGUUUAAUAGUAAGCAAAACUGGUAAAACCCUAAACGUCAGGUCGAGGUGUAGCGUAUGGGAAGGGAAGAAAUGGGCUACAUUCGCUACUACAGCGAAUACGGACGAUGCACUGAAACGUUCAUCUGAAGGAGGAUUUAGCAGUAAGCAGGAAAUAGAGUGUUCCGCUGAAAUUGGCCCUGAAGCGCGCACACACCGCCCGUCACUCUCCCCAAGCCUACCAACCUAAUUAACUAAACCCUAAUAAUCGCAAAGGGGAGGCAAGUCGUAACAUGGUAAGUG